AAGAGUCUAAAACAGAGCAUCCAGUGAAAUGUUUAACGUAAAAUGAGUAUUUGGGGACUUUGUGGCCAAAAAAAAAAAAGCGUUGACUAAAGAUAUGGAAGGCAAUCAAAUCCGUAGAGUCAUUAGAUGGUACACUAAUCGGGUAAUACUAGUAUGUUCCGUUCUAUAAUAUUAGCAUAUAAAUUUAGCUUACUAGGAAGUAAGAGAUUAGCAAAAUGGAAUGAGAGAGGAUUAAAAAGAGGGAAAGCUAGUGCUCUGUUUUUAGGGUUGUUUGAUUUUAAUGUAGGUUUGAUGUGGUGACCCACUCUGAUACUAAUGGUUUUUGGCAACUUUAUUUAAGUGGAUUUUUCGCGACUUUUGUUUUUUUUUUUUUGUUGGUUCUUGUUGUUGUGUGUGUGUGCGUGUUACUUGUUAGGAUCAAAAAAACCUUUUUUGGUUCUAUCUCCAUUUGUUCAUAUUGGCACCUUGGGUGAUCCAUCCACUGAACUAGAUUUUUUGGUUUUCCUUUUUCGGUGAUAUAAUGAAAGUUAUACUUUACUUAUCACUCCACUUCAAAUUAAUGUAUUCUUCUUCUUCUUAGACCUAUGAGUAUGACCAGAUACAUGCUUA